rnacentral:rRNA from 1 species
UACGUAGGGUGCGAGCGUUAAUCGGAUUUACUGGGCGUAAAGCGUGCGCAGGCGGCCCGUUAAGACAGGUGUGAAAUCCCUGGGCUCAACCUAGGAAUUGCGCUUGUGACUGGCGGGCUCGAGUACGGUAGAGGGGGGUGGAAUUUCUGGUGUAGCAGUGAAAUGCGUAGAGAUCAGGAGGAACACCGAUGGCGAAGGCAGCCCCCUGGGCCUGUACUGACGCUCAUGCACGAAAGCGUGGGGAGCAAACAGG